rnacentral:sRNA from 2 species
AUUGGUCGCAGGUUCGAAUCCUGCACGACCCACCAAUAUACAAGGUGGUAACUGGUAGAGAACGUGAAGGAUAAUGUUGCUUUAGCAACGGCCCGAAGGGCGAGGCAAAGCCGAGUCAUCCUGCACGACCCACCA